CAAGGAAUUUUCCGCAAUGGGCGCAAGCCUGACGGAGCAACGCCGCGUGCGGGAGGACGCCUUUCGGGGUGUAAACCGCUUUUCUUGGGGACGAAGCAAGUGACGGUACCCGAGGAAGAAGGACCGGCUAACUACGUGCCAGCAGCCGCGGUAAUACGUAGGGUCCGAGCGUUGUCCGGAGUUACUGGGCGUAAAGCGCGCGCAGGCGGCCAGUCAGGCCCGACGUGAAAGCCCCCGGCUCAACCGGGGAGGGUCGUCGGGGACCGGCUGGCUUGAGGGCGGCAGGGGUCGGUGGAAUCCCCGGUGUAGUGGUGAAAUGCGUAGAGAUCGGGGGGAACACCCGUGGCGAAGGCGGCCGACUGGGCCGACUCUGACGCUGAGGCGCGAAGGCGUGGGGAGCGAACGG
rnacentral:rRNA from 1 species